GGUUGUCUAAUUGAUGAGGACUCAAUUGAGGAAUAUGAAAAGGUGGCAAAGGAAAAGAGGAAGGAGAAAUUGGAGCAACAGGAAGGAGUGGAGUUAAAUUUUCUCAGCAAACUUGGUCAUGUCCAAAAGAUUGAGAUUCUGAAUGGCAUUGCUGACAUGAAGAAUGAGCUCAGGUGCAAUCAAAUGCACAGCUAGUGAGAAAAGAGAAGUGCCAUUUUUAGGUCUUCCAUUUAAUUAGUAUUGACAGUUUGUGGAGUUUUAGAUCACAAGGAUUUGAAAUCAGUGUUAAUAUUAUUUCAGAUUACAGGUAAUGCACUUACAUCUUUUUGAAAUUUUUA